AGUCCGGGCGCAGUGGCUCACACCUCCCCAGCACUUUGGGAGGCCGAGCCGGGCAGAUCACAGGGUCAGGAGUUCGAGACCAGCCUGGCCAACAUGGCAUGAGCCACCGUGCCCAGCCUGUAUCAUAUACUUUUUUAAAAAGAGACUUUACAGAAAAACAGACUGAGCAAACAGAGCUGCAUGCCGGUGCAUGAGCAACAAGUUAUAAUCGCACGCUGGAGGAAGAAAGAGGAAGCCGUCGGCC
rnacentral:lncRNA from 10 species